UACGAAGGGGGCUAGCGUUGCUCGGAAUCACUGGGCGUAAAGGGUGCGUAGGCGGGUCUUUAAGUCAGGGGUGAAAUCCUGGAGCUCAACUCCAGAACUGCCUUUGAUACUGAGGAUCUUGAGUUCGGGAGAGGUGAGUGGAACUGCGAGUGUAGAGGUGAAAUUCGUAGAUAUUCGGAAGAACACCAGUGGCGAAGGCGGCCCGCUGGACAUGUAUUGACGCUGAGGUGCGAAAGCGUGGGGAGCAAACAGGG
rnacentral:rRNA from 1 species